GUGCGUACAAAAGAGAAUUUCAAAGUGUCAGCCGCAGGGCCGAUUAGGCCGGGAUGGGAGUGGGUAUCCUGUGUAAUUUAGAAUAGCUUCCAGGGAAUCCUAAAAGGCCUCUUCUCAUCGAAGGCUGAAGAGCUAACUCCCUUAGACAAGCUUCAGCAUGUUUGCCAACCUUGGAAUUAAAAUUUUGGACUCCUUUUCUUUGGCAACACUUAUUGCAGCUGGCCACAAUGACACACACCUUUAAUCCCAGCACUCAGGAGGCAGAGGUUGUCUGAUCUCUGAGUUUGAGGCCAGCCUGGUUUACAGAAGAGCGAGUUCCAGGACAGCCAGGGCUACACAGAGAAACCCUGGCUCAAAAAAAAAAAAAAAAAAUCCCGUGUAUGUUUGAGCACUGCAUGGCUUUGUGGUCACCACAUGCACACAGGCACAUCACAGGUCACACAGCGUCAAGUCCCCUGGAACUGGAGGAGUUACAGACAGCUGUGGAGACUGAGCUGGGGUCCUCCGCAAGAGCAGUGAGUAGGCUUCCUCACCCGGCCAUCCCCCUAGACCCCUGUAACUGUUUCUUCUUGCAAUCUGACCAAUUUUCCUGCUCAUUUCUACAUGUAAAACAAAGAAAGCAAAACUGGAAAAAACACAUGUAUAGAAAGCCCCAGAGUGGCCCGGUGUUGGUGACGCACGCCUUUAAUCCCAGCACUCGGGAGGCGGAUCUCUGUGAGUUCGAGACCAGCCUGGUCUACAAGAGCUAGUUCCAGGACAGCCUCCAAAGCUACAGAGAGAAACCCUGUCUCGAAAAAACAAAAACAAAAACAAAAACAAAACAAAGAGAAAGCCCCAGAGCAGAUCAGUCUACGAAAUCAGCUUCCUGAUGAAUGAGGAGAUGAGACACUGUGGGGUCACAUAGGAAAACACAUUUUCACUAUUAUUUCUACAUGAAAUUAC
rnacentral:lncRNA from 1 species